UACGUAGGGUGCAAGCGUUGCUCGGAAUUACUGGGCGUAAAGCGCACGUAGGCGGCUUUCUAAGUCAGGGGUGAAAUCCUGGAGCUCAACUCCAGAACUGCCUUUGAUACUGGAGAGCUCGAGUCCGGAAGAGGUGAGUGGAACUCCGAGUGUAGAGGUGAAAUUCGUAGAUAUUCGGAAGAACACCAGUGGCGAAGGCGGCUCACUGGUCCGGUACUGACGCUGAUGUGCGAAAGCGUGGGGAG
rnacentral:rRNA from 1 species